GGGGAUGUAGCUCAGUGGUAGGGCAUUUUUCUAGCAUAUAUGAGGUCCUGGGUUCAAUCCCCACCACCACCA
rnacentral:tRNA from 1 species